GCAGUAGUGGAUCAGUGGUAGAAUUCUUGCCUCCCAUGCAGAAGACCCAGGUUUGAUUCCCGGCUAAUGCA
rfam:Loxodonta africana unplaced genomic scaffold scaffold_23, whole genome shotgun sequence.